GUGAAUCAUCAAAUUUUUGAGCGCAAAUUGCACUCUCUUCGGAGAGUAUGCCUGUUUGAGUUUCAGCCUAAAAAAAAUCGACAUUGUUGCUUUUUCUCGGUAACAUUCUGCGUAAAUUUGGUCAUCUUAAUCCUUUGGGUUUAAGCGGCUUAAUAUUUUCUUUACGAUUCCAAGAACGUUUCUAAGAUUUUAUUUUCUUUUACGUUUAUUGUUGCGUUCUAUAUUAUACGUGGCAGUUACAUCG
rnacentral:misc_RNA from 1 species